UACGGAGGGUGCAAGCGUUAUCCGGAUUCACUGGGUUUAAAGGGUGCGUAGGCGGCCCUGUAAGUCAGUGCUGAAAUAUCCCAGCUUAACUGGGAGGGUGGCAUUGAUACUGCGGGGGCUAGAGUACAGAUGAGGUAGGCGGAAUUGACGGUGUAGCGGUGAAAUGCUUAGAUAUCGUCAAGAACACCUAUAGCGAAGGCAGCUUACUAGGCUGUAACUGACGCUGAGGCACGAAAAGUGUGGGGGAUCAAACAGG
rnacentral:rRNA from 1 species